rnacentral:rRNA from 1 species
UACAGAGGUCCCAAGCGUUGUUCGGAUUUACUGGGCGUAAAGGGUGCGUAGGCGGUUGGAUAAGUGUGAAGUGAAAGCUCCAAGCUUAACUUGGAAAAUGCUUCAUAUACUAUCUGACUAGAGGGCCGGAGAGGAGAUUGGAAUUCUCGGUGUAGCAGUGAAAUGCGUAGAUAUCGAGAGGAACACCAGUGGCGAAAGCGAAUCUCUGGACGGCAUCUGACGCUGAGGCACGAAAGCCAAGGUAGCAAACGGG